UACAGAGGUCCCAAGCGUUGUUCGGAUUCAUUGGGCGUAAAGGGUGCGUAGGCGGCGCGGUAAGUCGGGUGUGAAAUCUCGGAGCUUAACUCCGAAACUGCAUUCGAUACUGCCGUGCUUGAGGACUGGAGAGGAGACUGGAAUUUACGGUGUAGCGGUGAAAUGCGUAGAUAUCGUAAGGAAGACCAGUGGCGAAGGCGGGUCUCUGGACGUUCCUGACGCUGAGGCACGAAGGCCAGGGGAGCAAACGG
rnacentral:rRNA from 1 species